UCCUUUUAUGUUGUGGUCACUAAACAUUAGAAAGUCUCACCCGGCAGAGAGCGCCGGAGGGACACAGACGUAAGAAGUGUUCUCACUUACUAAAACACCAAUGUUUAUCAUAACCAGAUACACACACACAUGCAUGUACUCACUUUCUUCAGCACAAAGUCUCAAGGUAGGUCACUUAUUGACUUCAGCCUCAGCAACAUGUCCACCAGCAUCUGGUGGUCACAACCAUGAGAGAAGCAGAUUGAGGUCUGCACAGGUACGUUUUCAGUGGUAAAAACUUCUUGAAUUGUCACAGUGUAGUAUUUGUCAGGUGAGUGCCAUUCUAGUCUGUGUGUUGUUUUGAAUAAAUUACUUUACAGUCUCCAGGAAGUCAGGUCUCAGCUCUUUUACAUAUUUCAUCUGUCAAUAGUUGCUCCUUAACGAACAGGGAUCUAUUUUCUUUCUUUCUCUGCACUGUUGUUUUCAAUCAUUUGAUGAGAUGAGCUGUGAAUACUUCCUUUACGAGAGAGGAAUCUGGUUGAUUGGUGACACAAAUAUUAGUCACUCUGACUAAACAAUCUGUUUGUGAACUGAUUCACAACUUUUUUACUCAUGUGCUAAAACCUCAGAAACUUCCGUCUCAGUACAAGUGACACAUUCAGAAAGAUUAAGAUUAAGAUGCAUUUAUUUGUCCCAAACACAUGCACAGACAUGCACAGGCACCCUCAUGCAGGUAGGGAAAUUUAACCUCUGCUUUUGACCCUUCUGGUGCAGGACACACAGAGCAGUGAGCGACCAUGUACGGCGCCCGGGGAGCAGAUGUUGGGGGAGAAAGGUGCCUUGCUCAGGGGCACUAGAGAGGGUAGGGAGAAUCCUCUUGGAUAUUUGGACAGAUCAAUCCAGGUUCGUCUUUUUGUUGUUUCUCCGUGGAGUCGAACCAGAGACGAACCAGAGACCUUCUCUCCCCAUAGUCCAAGUUUCUGCCACUAGUCCACCGUCUCUGUGUCUUCUACCUCCUGCAGAUGAAUCACAAAAGUAAAACCACACUCAACACCUUCUCACACUCGACCUGAAUCCGAUGUAGCCAUUUCUAAAUGUCCUGAAUUAGCUGAGCACGUCUGUUUAUCGUUUCACAAUCGCAUCCAGAGAACUUUUACCUCUGUGCUUCCACUGCUUGUCUCUCUGCAGCUGAGUGACGUGCAGCACAGGGUUGUGAUUACAGCUCUGAAGAAUGACUCCACCGCUGCAUUGAUGAGACACUUUCUCUCAUAACAUGUGAUUUGCCAGAAUACAGGGGAAGCAACACAAUCACUGCUCGACAUCUGACAGUCUGAACACAGCUCAGUAGAAGAGACGUGCUAUUUUUGGGAGCACAUCAUUCAUUUCUCCACUAGAUCCACACGCAUCAGGGACAUUGUUAUUCUGAGCAGUUGAAAGAGUGAUGUUGUGAUUAAUUAAUAGAAAAAUAGAAAAUGAGAUUCAUCAAUGCAAACGUUGUUUAUAUGAGAUAAUCUCACCCUUUUCAUUUAGUUUAUCUGCAUCAAUGGUGACAUCUAGAGGUUGAAUAAACGAAAAACAUUCCUAAAACAUAUCAAACAUAUUAGAAUUGCUGUGAAAUAAACAGACCUGUGUGGAUCCCCUCUCUGACCCAGAUUGUUUCAUUAUGCACAUUAUUGACAUAAAGAUCGAUUCUAUUGUAUUUUGCUCUAGUGCCUAGCAGCUGCUUCUGUUGUGCUGGGUUCUACACUCCUGCUCGUGAUUGGCCCUGCGAUAUGGGAAGUCCGGUGACGCCGACCAAUGGGAUUAGAUCUUUAUUCCAUAGUCCUGGUUCCGGACUGGCCUGUUUCUAUUUUAAGUAGCAGGUGAAAUAGCGGUGGCGCCAUAUCUCCGAUUGAAUCCUCCCAUUGAUCGACCGCUCUGCCUGCAGGUCUGUUAAAGAUGGAUAUGUAUGCUGUGCCGGAUAUACCAGGCUGCCCCCCAGGACUAGAAUACCUGACCCAGGUGGACCAGCUGCUCAUCAAACAGAAGGUUGAAGUAGUUGAAGCCCUCGUCGGUUUCGAGAGCAACAACAAGUAUGAAGUCCGUAACGCCAUGGGUCAGAACGUGUUCUACGCCGUGGAGGAGAACGACUGCCUGAGUCGACAGUGCUGCGGCCCCGUGCGCUCCUUCAACAUCCACGUGCUCGACAACUUCGGACAGGAGGUCAUCACCGUCACCAGACCGCUGAAGUGCAUGUCCUGCUUCUUCCCUUGCUGUUUGCAGGAGCUGGAGGUGCAGUCCCCCCCUGGGAACACAGUGGGGUACGUUGUGCAACAGUGGCAUCCGUUCUCCCCUAAAUUCCUGGUGACGGACGAACACCGCGAGCCUGUGCUGAAGAUCCAUGGGCCCUUCUGUGGAUGGAGCUGCCUCCCAGAUGUUGACUUUGAGAUUCUCACCAUGGAUGAAGUGAGUAAAAUCGGGAAGAUCAGUAAACAGUGGACGGGACUUCUGCGGGAAAUGUUCACAGAUGCAGACAACUUUGGAAUCCAGUUCCCCAUGGACCUGGACGUGAAGGUCAAGGCUGUGAUGAUCGGCGCGUGUUUCCUCAUCGACUUCAUGUUCUUUGAGACAAACAACUAGGGGCCGAGCAGGAUUUCCCGAGAAAGCGUUUCAACAUUCCUGGAAGAGCAAGGCCAUGAAGCCGUGAUGAUCAGCACCAAAAGCCCUGACACGGAGCAACCUGUCCGACGGAAAGUAAAGAAAGUACUGAGAGAUGGUGACCACAACUUCGAAGGAUCCUGUUCUCUGGCAUGAUGUAAAGUUUACUUUUUGAUGAAAACAGACAGCGUUUGAAUUCCUUUUACAGCUGUGAUUAGCAAAGAUUAAGAUUUACUAUUUUCCUACAAAUAUCUUGCGAAACCACUGAGAAAUACUAAACACUAAUCUCCUGCUUUGUUGAAUGACAUGUUUAGAGAGCAGCACUCGUCCUUUGGAAUGAAUUUAAUGCUGAGGCCUCACAGUGAUACAUACGGAUGAUGUCAUCCCGGCGAUGAUCUGCUGGCUGCGACUUCCCAGUCUGGGAAAAAAUGCAGAUGUUUAUUUGUGGGAUUCUGCUUUGUGCAACACCCCAUUUCAUAGACUCCCCCCUUGUAAUUAGAAUCA